rnacentral:siRNA from 1 species
UUGAAUGUAGGGCGCGUAUCG